GGAGGCCUCGAAUAGAACGGACCGCCUUCCGCUCUGAGCUUAGAGGCCUGGCCUAAUAUUUGGGAGUCGAUGUGAGGGGCGCUUCGCAAUCUGUCGUUCUUUCGCGAAAAUGGCGGCCGGAGCGGGUAAACACAAGUUGAUGAAUGCUGGGCCCACAGAACCGUGGUCUAUUCGAGAGAAGCUGUGCUUGGCUUCUUCUGUCAUGCGAAGUGGGGACCAAAACUGGGUAUCUGUCAGCCGAGCUAUUAAACCCUUUGCAGAAUCAGGCCGACCACCAGAUUGGUUUUCUCAGAAGCACUGUGCAUCACAAUAUUCUGAGCUCCUGGAGACAACAGAGACUCCAAAAAGGAAGCGUGGUGAGAAAGGAGAAGUUGUAGAAACUGUAGAAGAUGUUAUUGUGAGAAAAUUGACAGCAGAACGAGUGGAGGAGCUUAAGAAGUUGAUUAAGGAGACACAGGAAAAGUACAGGCAGCUGAAGAGAGAUGCAGAACUGAUCCAGGCAGGACAUAUGGAUCACAGGCUGGAGGAAAUUUACAAUGACAUUGUGAUGAAAAAAAGAAUAGAAGAGGAGGAGGCUGAAGUGAAGAGAAAAGCUACUGAUGCUGCUUAUCAAGCUCGUCAAGCAGUUAAAAAUCCAUCAAGAAGGAUGCCAGGAAUGAUGGUCCGUUCUCCAGCAGGGUCAACAUCACCAGGAGCAGAGUAUGCUCUGGGAGACUUGUCUCAACCCAGUGUGGAAGAGACAAGUCCAGGGGUAACUCCAGGGACAUUGCCCAGCACCCCAGUUGCCUCCUUCAUUGGGAUCCCUGACACCCCUAUGGGCUCCACCUCCCUGGAUGCCCCCUUGACCCCAGUCACAGAUGAUUCAACCCAGAAAAAGAUGCUAGGACAGAAAGCGACUCCGCCUCCUUCUCCUCUGCUUUCAGAGCUGCUGAAGAAAGGCAGCCUCCUGCCCACAAGCCCCAGGCUGGUGUCAGAGGGUGAGCUCUCUGUUGUUGCUGGUCAUCCAAGCAGCUCUGGACUCCUCCUGGAAGUGGGAGGGGUUCUUCCAGUAUUACAUGGUGGGGAAAUGCAGUCGUCUUCUACCGCUAUACCUGCGACCCCGGCUGCUUCAGGUGCUCCUACUCUUUCCCGCCUUUUAGAAGCUGGUCCAGCACAAUUCACCACAUCGCUUGCUUCCUUUUCUGCUGUUGCCAGUGAACCUCCAGCCAAACUCCUGCCUCCCCCUAUAGAGUCCGUGUCUCAGGCCACCAUAGUCAUGGUGCCCACGCUACAAGCGCCACCUGCUGUGCCAUCUGCUGCAACUCCAGAAAGUGUAGCGACAGUGAAUCAGCCCAACACCUGUGUUUCCAUGGAGGCAGUGCCUGAUCCUCACACUGUGACAGUAUCAAUGGAUAGCAGUGAAAUUUCCAUGAUCAUUGAUUCCAUCAAGAAAGACUGCCUAGGCUCUGGGGCAUCUGGUGCUGUAGGGAUUUCCAAAGACCACAUGGAUAGCAAAGAAGACCUGGAUCUGGCUGAGAAGAUGGAUAUUGCCGUUUCCUACACAGGGGAAGAGCCUUCCUACACUGGGGAAGAACUUGAUUUUGAAACUGUUGGGGACAUCAUAGCUAUCAUUGAGGACAAGGUGGAUGAUCAUCCUGAAGUCUUGGAUGUAGCAGCAGUAGAGGCUGCCUUGUCUUUCUGUGAAGAAAUUGAGGAUCCGCAGUCUCUGACCAGUCCUUGGGAGCACCCCCUCCAGCGGGAGCAUCCAAUCCAACAGGAGCACGAGAAGCAGAGCCAGAUGCCCCAAAUGACAGUAACAAUAAAGCAAGAAAGACCGGACUGUGAGGAAUUGGAAGCAAAAGGGAUCCGAGAUCUGAUGAGCCUUGGAGAUUUGGGAGCAGAUAUAAAAACUGAACCUGCUGAACAAGGGCAGGUACGUUUGGGCUCCGAAGAAGCCGCUGUGCUAGCAGCUAGAACAAGUGAAGCUUCUGAAUUGAGGGGCCAUAUAUCUGAAGAUGAAGAGACAACAGUGGUUGGUUUGACAGGCUCUGAUAUGGAUGUAGAAUCAACAAAAGAUGACAUGGAUCGUGGCAGUGUGAAAGCAGAGCUUCCCCCUGAUGAGGAGACUUCCUCUCCACAUGCCCCAAGUGCAAGUGAGGAUUCCUCACAGGCAGAUGUCCACCACAAAUAUGAGCUGUCAGAAUCAAUGAAAAAUGAAGCUCAAGCUCUUUUUGAAAACCAGCUGAAGGGUGAAGAGGAUGAGGAGGAUGGUGCCAGCGAGGCUGCCAGUUUGGAGGAGCCCAAAGAGGAAGAUCAGGGUGAGGGAUAUCUCUCAGAAAUGGACAAUGAGCCCCCUGUGAGUGAGAGUGAUGAUGGCUUCAGUAUCCAUAAUGCACCUUUGCAGUCUCACACACUGGCUGAUUCCAUCCCCAGCAGCCCUGCCUCCUCACAGUUCUCUGUUUGCAGUGAGGAUCAGGAGGCUAUUCAGGCACAAAAAAUCUGGAAGAAGGCUAUUAUGCUGGUUUGGAGAGCAGCUGCUAAUCACAGGUAUGCCAAUGUCUUCUUACAGCCCGUGACUGAUGAUAUUGCUCCAGGCUACCAUAGUAUUGUACAGAGGCCAAUGGAUUUGUCAACAAUUAAGAAAAAUAUUGAGAAUGGGUUGAUCAGAACCACAGCAGAGUUCCAACGAGAUAUUAUGCUGAUGUUCCAAAACGCUGUCAUGUACAACAGCUCUGAUCAUGAUGUUUAUCACAUGGCUGUGGAAAUGCAGCGAGAUGUCUUAGAGCAGAUUCAGCAAUUUCUAGCCACUCAGUUGAUCAUGCAGACAAAUGAGUCUGGGAUCAGUGCAAAAAGUCUCCGUGGACGAGACUCUACUCGGAAACAAGAUGCUUCGGAGAAGGACAAUGGCCCUAUGGGCUCCCCAGCAUUCCUUCUUUCCCUCUUUACAGAGAAACAUGAGGACAGGCAGCCAGAUGGAGAGGGCAGCAAAUGGAAGUAAGCUAUCUGAUUGCCCUACAUUCAUGGAGAGCCGCUGUGAGGAAACUAGGGAAACUAGUGCCAGGGUAUUGCAUCUGGAAGAGAUCUUCUGUAAAGAGCAGCAGUUGAUCAGGAUGGGGGAACUAGAGGACGUCGUUGUGCCAUUGAAGCAGACAUGAAGAUGAAGAAAUGACGCAAAAGCAGGAGACACCCCAGGCUUUGGCAUCUGAAUGAGAAUUUUCCUGAUUCUGAAUGAGACACAGCUCUGGAUGGCCAUGUGUAUUAGUGUUGUCCUGGAAUGCGUAACUGGGGAAAUCCCAGGCCCAGGAGAGCAGUCCUCUGCCUGUUCUAAGGCAGUUGUAAUCAGGUCCUGUGAGUGUUCUGAUUAGCUAGCAACUGGUGGCUAGUAUGUUUUGUAAUGUGAUGUGUACAGAUUUUUUUUAUGUAUUUGUGGAUUGUAAAUGUGUAUAAUAAAUUGUAGAGAAUCAAGUAUA